GUUAGUGGUGGGUAAAGGCCUACCAAGACAAUGAUGCAUAGCCGAGUUGAAGACUGAUCGGCCACAUUGGGACUGAGACCCGGCCCAAAUUCCUACGGGAGGCUGCAGUAGGGAAUCUUCCACAAUGGGCGAAAGCCUGAUGGAGCAACGCCGCGUGUGUGAUGAAGGCUUUCGGGUCGUAAAGCACUGUUGUAUGGGAAGAAAAGUUAAGGUAGGGAAUGACCUUAGCCUGACGGUACCAUACCAGAAAGGGACGGCUAAAUACGUGCCAGCAGCCGCGGUAAUACGUAUGUCCCGAGCGUUAUCCGGAUUUAUUGGGCGUAAAGCGAGCGCAGACGGUUGGUUAAGUCUGAUGUGAAAGCCCGGAGCUCAACUCCGGAAAGGCAUUGGAAACUGGUUAACUUGAGUGCAGUAGAGGUAAGUGGAACUCCAUGUGUAGCGGUGGAAUGCGUAGAUAUAUGGAAGAACACCAGCGGCGAAGGCGGCUUACUGGACUGUAACUGACGUUGAGGCUCGAAAGUGUGGGUAGCAAACAGGAUUAGAUACCCUGGUAGUCCACACCGUAAACGAUGAACACUAGGUGUUAGGAGGUUUCCGCCUCUUAGUGCCGAAGCUAACGCAUUAAGUGUUCCGCCUGGGGAGUACGACCGCAAGGUUGAAACUCAAAGGAAUUGACGGGGACCCGCACAAGCGGUGGAGCAUGUGGUUUAAUUCGAAGCAACGCGAAGAACCUUACCAGGUCUUGACAUCCUUUGAAGCUUUUAGAAAUAGAAGUGUUCUCUUCGGAGACAAAGUGACAGGUGGUGCAUGGUCGUCGUCAGCUCGUGUCGUGAGAUGUUGGGUUAAGUCCCGCAACGAGCGCAACCCUUAUUGUUAGUUGCCAGCAUUCAGAUGGGCACUCUAGCGAGACUGCCGGUGACAAACCGGAGGAAGGCGGGGACGACGUCAGAUCAUCAUGCCCCUUAUGACCUGGGCUACACACGUGCUACAAUGGCGUAUACAACGAGUUGCCAACCUGCGAAGGUGAGCUAAUCUCUUAAAGUACGUCUCAGUUCGGACUGCAGUCUGCAACUCGACUGCACGAAGUCGGAAUCGCUAGUAAUCGCGGAUCAGCACGCCGCGGUGAAUACGUUCCCGGGUCUUGUACACACCGCCCGUCACACCAUGGAAGUUUGUAAUGCCCAAAGCCGGUGGCCUAACCGUAAGGAGGGAACCGUU
rnacentral:rRNA from 1 species